UACGUAGGGGGCAAGCGUUGUCCGGAUUCAUUGGGCGUAAAGAGCUCGUAGGCGGUUUGGCAAGUCGGGUGUGAAAACUCCGGGCUCAACUCGGAGACGCCACUCGAUACUGCUAUGACUCGAGUCCGGUAGGGGAGUGCGGAAUUCCAGGUGUAGCGGUGAAAUGCGUAGAUAUCUGGAGGAACACCGGUGGCGAAGGCGGCGUUCUGGACUGCAACUGACACUGAGGAACGAAAGCCAGGGGAGCAAACGGG
rnacentral:rRNA from 1 species